AUUGAACGCUGGCGGAAUGCUUUACACAUGCAAGUCGAGCGGCAGCGCGGCCUUCGGGCUGGCGGCUAGCGGCGAACGGGUGAGUAAUGCAUCGGAACAUGCCCAGUCGUGGGGGAUAACACUUCGAAAGAAGUGCUAAUACCGCAUACGUCCUGCGGGGGAAAGCGGGGGAUCGCAAGACCUCGCGCGAUUGGAGUGGCCGAUGUCAGAUUAGCUAGUUGGUGGGGUAAGGGCCUACCAAGGCGACGAUCUGUAGCUGGUCUGAGAGGAUGAUCAGCCACACUGGGACUGAGACACGGCCCAGACUCCUACGGGAGGCAGCAGUGGGGAAUUGUGGACAAUGGGGGCAACCCUGAUCCAGCCAUUCCGCGUGAGUGAAGAAGGCCUUCGGGUUGGAAAGCUCUUUCGGCAGGAACGAAACGGUGGGCUCUAACAUAGUCCGCUAAUGACGGUACCUGAAGAAGAAGCACCGGCUAACUACGUG
rnacentral:rRNA from 1 species